UACGUAGGGUGCGAGCGUUGUCCGGAAUUAUUGGGCGUAAAGGGCUCGUAGGCGGUUUGUCACGUCGGGAGUGAAAACUCGGGGCUUAACCCCGAGCCUGCUUCCGAUACGGGCAGACUAGAGGUAUGCAGGGGAGAACGGAAUUCCUGGUGUAGCGGUGAAAUGCGCAGAUAUCAGGAGGAACACCGGUGGCGAAGGCGGUUCUCUGGGCAUUACCUGACGCUGAGGAGCGAAAGUGUGGGGAGCGAACAGU
rnacentral:rRNA from 1 species